AGAGUUUGAUCCUGGCUCAGGAUGAACGCUGGCGGCGUGCCUAACACAUGCAAGUCGAGCGAAGCAUACAGGAGGAAGUUUUCGGAUGGAAUCCUGUAUGACUGAGCGGCGGACGGGUGAGUAACGCGUGGGUAACCUGCCUUAUACAGGGGGAUAACAGUUAGAAAUGACUGCUAAUACCGCAUAAGCGCACAGUACCGCAUGGUACAGUGUGAAAAACUCCGGUGGUAUAAGAUGGACCCGCGUCUGAUUAGCCAGUUGGCGGGGUAACGGCCCACCAAAGCGACGAUGCAUAGCCGGCCUGAGAGGGCGGACGGCCACACUGGGACUGAGACACGGCCCAGACUCCUACGGGAGGCAGCAGUAGGGAAUUUUCGUCAAUGGGCGCAAGCCUGAACGAGCAAUGCCGCGUGAACGAGGAAGGUCUUCGGAUCGUAAAGUUCUGUUGAAGGGGAAAAAGAGCGGAGAGAGGAAAUGCUUUCUGAUUGAUAUUACCCUUCGAGGAAGUCACGGCUAACUACGUGCCAGCAGCCGCGGUAAUACGUAGGUGGCGAGCGUUAUCCGGAAUGAUUGGGCGUAAAGGGUGCGUAGGCGGCCUGCUAAGUCUGGAGUGAAAGGUACCGGCUCAACCGGUACAGGCUCUGGAAACUGGCGGGCUAGAGAGCAGGAGAGGGCGGUGGAACUCCAUGUGUAGCGGUAAAAUGCGUAGAUAUAUGGAAGAACACCAGUGGCGAAGGCGGCCGCCUGGCCUGUUAACUGACGCUGAGGCACGAAAGCGUGGGGAGCAAAUAGGAUUAGAUACCCUAGUAGUCCACGCCGUAAACGAUGAGGACCAAGUGUUGGGGAAGACCCAGUGCUGCAGUUAACGCAGUGAGUCCUCCGCCUGGGGAGUAUGCACGCAAGUGUGAAACUCAAAGGAAUUGACGGGGGCCCGCACAAGCGGUGGAGUAUGUGGUUUAAUUCGAAGCAACGCGAAGAACCUUACCAGGCCUUGACAUCCUUCUGACGUACCGGUAAUGCGGUAUUCCUUUCGGGGCAGGAGAGACAGGUGGUGCAUGGUUGUCGCCAGCUCGUGUCGUGAGAUGUUGGGUUAAGUCCCGCAACGAGCGCAACCCCUAUCCCCCGUAGCCAGCGGCGAGGCCGGGCACUUUGGGGGGACCGCCGGGGACAACCCGGAGGAAGGCGGGGAGGACGUCAAAUCAUCAUGCCCCUUAUGGGCUGGGCUACACACGUGCUACAAUGGCGCCGACAAAGGGAGGGGAAGCGGGGACGCGGAGCAAACCCCAGAAACGGCGCCCCAGUUCGGAUUGCAGCCUGCAACUCGGCUGCAUGAAGCCGGAAUCGCUAGUAAUCGCGGAUCAGGAUGCCGCGGUGAAUACGUUCCCGGGUCUUGCACACACCGCCCGUCA
rnacentral:rRNA from 1 species